rnacentral:rRNA from 1 species
UUCAACUCAGUGGCGGACGGGUGAGUAACGCGUGAGUAACCUGCCUUUCAGAGGGGGAUAACGUUCUGAAAAGAACGCUAAUACCGCAUAAGAUUGUAGCUUCGCAUGGAGCAGCAAUCAAAGGAGCAAUCCGCUGAAAGAUGGACUCGCGUCCGAUUAGAUAGUUGGCGGGGUAACGGCCCACCAAGUCGACGAUCGGUAGCCGGACUGAGAGGUUGAUCGGCCACAUUGGGACUGAGACACGGCCCAGACUCCUACGGGAGGCAGCAGUGAGGGAUAUUGGGCAAUGGGGGAAACCCUGACCCAGCAACGCCGCGUGAGGGAUGACGGUUUUCGGAUUGUAAACCUCUGUCCUCUGUGAAGAUAGUGACGGUAGCAGAGGAGGAAGCUCCGGCUAACUACGUGCCAGCAGCCGCGGUAAUACGUAGGGAGCAAGCGUUGUCCGGAUUUACUGGGUGUAAAGGGUGCGUAGGCGGAUUGGCAAGUCAGAAGUGAAAUCCAUGGGCUUAACCCAUGAACUGCUUUUGAAACUGUUAGUCUUGAGUGAAGUAGAGGUAGGCGGAAUUCCCGGUGUAGCGGUGAAAUGCGUAGAGAUCGGGAGGAACACCAGUGGCGAAGGCGGCCUACUGGGCUUUAACUGACGCUGAGGCAC